UACGGAGGGGGCUAGCGUUGUUCGGAAUUACUGGGCGUAAAGCGCACGUAGGCGGCUUUGUAAGUUAGAGGUGAAAGCCCGGGGCUCAACUCCGGAAUUGCCUUUAAGACUGCAUCGCUAGAAUUGUGGAGAGGUAAGUGGAAUUCCGAGUGUAGAGGUGAAAUUCGUAGAUAUUCGGAAGAACACCAGUGGCGAAGGCGACUUUCUGGCCUGUUCUUGACGCUGAGGCGCGAAAGCUAGGGGAGCAAACGGG
rnacentral:rRNA from 1 species